rnacentral:rRNA from 1 species
AUGAGCACGGACGCGGACGCCGUGCCGGUGGCCGUGGCGCCGGCGAAGCGCCCUCCCAUCAACAAGUACGCCUUCGCCUGCGCCCUCCUCGCCUCCAUGAACUCCGUCCUCCUCGGAUACGACAUCUCGGUGAUGAGCGGCGCGCAGCUGUUCAUGAAGGAGGACCUGAAGAUCACGGACACACAGAUCGAGAUCCUGGCCGGCAUCAUCAGCAUCUACUCGCUGCUGGGCUCGCUCAUGGCGGGGCUCACGUCCGACUGGCUGGGCCGGCGCUACACCAUGGUGCUGGCGGCCGCCAUCUUCUUCACGGGCGCCCUCCUCAUGGGCCUCGCCCCCAACUACGCCUUCCUCAUGGCCGGCCGCUUCGUCGCCGGCAUCGGCGUCGGCUACGCGCUCAUGAUCGCGCCCGUCUACACGGCCGAGGUGGCGCCCACCUCCUCCCGCGGCUUCCUCACCACCUUCCCGGAGGUGUUCAACAACUUCGGCAUCCUCCUGGGCUACGUCUCCAACUUCGCCUUCGCGCGCCUCCCCGUGCACCUCAGCUGGCGCGCCAUGUUCCUCGUCGGCGCCGUGCCGCCGGUGUUCCUCGGCUUCGCCGUCCUCGCCAUGCCGGAGUCACCCCGGUGGCUGGUCAUGCGGGGCCGGAUCGAGGACGCGCGGCGUGUCCUGCUGAGGACCUCCGAUUCGCCCGAGGAGGCCGAGGAACGGCUCCUCGACAUCAAGAAGGUCGUCGGCAUCCCCGCGGACGCCACGGACGCCGAUGAUGUCGUCGCCAUCGUGCGCGCGAACGAGGCCGCGCGCGGGCAGGGGGUGUGGAAGGAGCUGCUGAUCAACCCGAGCCGGCCCGUGCGCCGCAUGCUCGUGGCCGGCCUCGGGCUCAUGUUCAUCCAGCAGGCCACGGGCGUGGACUGCGUGGUGAUGUACAGCCCGCGGGUGUUCGAGAAGGCAGGGAUGAAGAACAGGACCAACUCGCUGGGGGCGUCCAUGGCGGUGGGCGCGUGCAAGACCUUCUUCAUCCCGAUCGCGACGCUCCUCCUCGACCGGGUCGGCCGGAGGCCGCUGCUGCUGGCCAGCGGCGGCGGGAUGGCCAUCUUCCUGUUCACGCUCGCCACGUCCCUGCUCAUGCUCGACCGGCGGCCGGAGUCGGAGGCGAAGGCGCUGGGCGCGGUGAGCAUCGUGGCGAUGCUGUCGUUCGUGGCGUCGUUCGCGUCGGGGCUGGGCCCCGUGGCCUGGGUGUACUGCUCGGAGAUCUACCCGCUGCGGCUGCGCGCGCAGGCCGCCGCCAUCGGCACGGGCCUGAACCGGCUCAUGGGCGGGGCCACCACCAUGUCCUUCCUGUCGCUCAGCGAGGCCAUCACCAUCGCCGGGAGCUUCUACCUGUACGCCUGCGUGGCGGCCGCCGGGUGGGUGUUCAUGUACUUCUUCCUGCCGGAGACGAUGGGCCAGAGCCUGGAGGACACCGGGAAGCUCUUCGGCAAGGACAUGGACGACGACGACACCGACCACGACGGCGCCGUCGUGCACCACGAGCGCAAGAGGUCCACCGAGCUGAUCACUCAGCAGUAA